AAAACAACUUUGAAGAGAAGAGUAUGUUUGCGCAGAAGUUUUACAGAGAGUCCCGUUAGCUGAAAAAGGACAAUGGAUGCAGAACAGAAGAUGGUCUCUGAGUGGAUUGGGUGAGCUGAUUGUUUACUAUCAGUAAGGUCAAAACGGGAGCGCCCGUUAUAGCGCCAGAGUAUGCAAAAUCUGUAGUGAUUUUAAGUACUUGGUAAGGCGAAAAUAGUGAUAUUUUCGUAAAACAAGGUGGUACCACGUUGGUUUAUACAGAUAAACUCCCGUCCUUGAA
rfam:Carnobacterium maltaromaticum LMA28 complete genome